GGAAGGAUCAUUAACACGUUAUUCUUAACGUUAUCAACAAACCGCGAACUUGUUUUCAAUUCUCCCUUCAAUGAAUGAAGCAUGAGGGCACUGAGUAGAGACUUUGAGUGGGUUCCCCAAUAUUUAUAUUGGUUGGGACAAUCUCUAUUCACCACCUGUUCAAGCUAACCUGUAGCUUCAUUCGAAGGCAAACCCUCAAUAUCCAUCGGUCUACUAUACAUCGCCCCUCAUGGGUAUAGUUGGCUGCGGAUAUUAGAAUCACACUAAUAACCCUACUUUCACCUAGUUGACAUGUUCUGUUGUUAGCUUUGCUAGCAGCACGUUUGAAUUUAAUUAAACGUUAAACAGUACAACUCUUAGCAAUGGAUAUCUAGGCUCUCGCAACGAUGAAGAACGCAGCAAAUCGCGAUAUGUAAUGUGAAUUGCAGAAUUAAGUGAAUCAUCAAAUUUUUGAACGCAAAUUGCGCUCUUGGGAUAGCCCUGGGAGCACGCCUCUCUCAGUAUCGGUUCAAACACAGCUCAACUACGUGGAUGUCAUUUAUGAUACUCUCGCGUGCAGGUUGGACAAUGAGAGUCUCACUGCUUGUCAGUAAGUCUCUUUAAAUGGAUCGAGUGAUCUCAUUCAGCUAACGAAGUCCCUACUCUCCGGAGUAGGCCCAGUCUCUCUGACUGCUUGCUUUGAUUAGUGACGUGAAUACUGACCUUUGGUCUCUUUUCUACGUUUGUCUAAUUUCAAUAGCAGCCUCAAAGUCUAGGAAUGGGUUGUGGCUCGUUGUUAUAGUUGGAUGGAUUGCGUAUCGCGGCUAUAUGUAAGAAAAGCUGCAAUCGAUCUCUUUCUUAAGAGAUCUAUAACUUUUGAUCUGAGAUGAAGCGAGAAGACCCCCUGAAUUUAAGCAUAUUAAUAAGGGGAGGAAAAGAAAAUAACAAUAAUGCCCCUAGUAACGGCGAGUGAAGCGGGCAAAGCUCAAUCUGAAAAUCGAUUACCCAAACGGGUCAUCGAGUUGUAGCCUAUGGACGUACUAUCAGCUGUCACCUGGGUAUAAGUUCUUUGGAAUGAGGCCAAAUAUAGGGUGAGAUGCCCGUAUAUGACCUAAAGGUGUAUGGCGUACGAUGUAUGUUCUUCGAGUCGAGUUGUUUGGGAUUGCAGCUCUAAAUGGGUCGUAAGAAUGAUCUAAAGCUAAAUACAGGCGAGAGACCGAUAGCGAACAAGUACCGUGAGGGAAAGAUGAAAAGAACUUCGAAAGAAGAGUCAAAAGUACUUGAAAUUGCUAGGAGGGAAGCGCUGAAAACUAGUCACAUGUCUGGUUAAUCGCUUUGAGCCCCCCUAGGUUAUGCAGGUAGUUGGAUAACUCUAUCUGUAUGGCCGAAAGGGAGACUUGAGGUUUAUAAUUAGGCAUAAGUCAAGAUCAAUUCGAAUUGUGGGAGAAGGUAGUAAGAAAGGUAGGAGAGCAAUCUCUGUUAUAGUCUUAUUGCUCUACCUCGAUUUGGAUUGAGGAAGUAAUGGUGCGCCGCUUGCGGCUGGGUCCUUUGCUCCUAGUCCUUUAGCUGUGGUUAUAGCAAUGCUAUGUCUAUGUCGAAGAGGCCUACUGGGUAAGGUGACUUCAUGUACCGUCACGAUCUUGUACGAAAUGGUUUUCAUCGACCCGUCUUGAAACACGGACCAAGGAGUCUAACAUCUAUGCGAGUGUUUGGGUGGUUCAAACCCUGACGCGGAAUGAAAGUAAAGGUAGCCUCGGGCUACUGAGGUAGGAAUCCUGCAAGGGAGGCACUAUCGACCGAUCAUCACUUGUGAAAGAUUUGAGUAAGAGCAUAUCUGUUGGGACCCGAAAGAUGGUGAUCUAUGCCUGAACAGGGUGAAGCCAGGAGAAAUUCUGGUGGAGGCUCGUAGCGAUACUGACGUGCAAAUCGUUCGUCUGAUUUGGGUAUAGGGGCGAAAGACUAAUCGAACCAUCUAGUAGCUGGUUCCCUC
rnacentral:misc_RNA from 1 species